rnacentral:lncRNA from 11 species
AGGGGCUGCUUAAAACUGAAGCCACAGAAGGUAAUGAGGCUCAAAUAGAUUCAGGUGCGCUUGAAUUUCAAGGCCAGCACAAGAAGCUAUUUCUGGCAGGACCCCCUAGAGUCAUUACAUAAGAUACUGAUCAGACAAAGCCAAGGCAGAGACAUCACCAGAAGAGGAGGUGGCAUUCCCUUUUAUAUUAAGC